UCUAGGUCAAAGAUUCUGUUUGGCGGAUGGUUAGGUUUCGGUAGAGAUGAAGGACGUGGUAAGCUGCGAAAAGGUUGAGGUAGGCGCACGCAGCCUUUGAUCUCAACAUCUCUCAAUUGGAAAUCCUGCCUCUCGGGGCAUUCCGAAAGGAAGUCUGACGCGGGGAAUUGAAGCAUCUUAGUACCCGCAGGAAGAGAAAUCAAACGAGAUGCCGUUAGUAAAGGCGAUUAAAAGCGGCAUAGGGCAAACCGAACUUCUGAUGAAAGUCAGUAAGGAUGUGGAGUUAAAGGACUUGGGCCUUCCCUAACUUGUUAGCUUAAAGUUCUCUGGAAAGAGAUACCAAAGAGGGUGAUAGUCCCGUAGAGUAAAGCAAGAAGGGAAAUGCCAAGUAUCCUGAGUACCGGUCUUUAAAUAUAGAUCGAGAAUUUGGGUGGCAUUGACAUCCAACCCUAAAUAUAACCGAAGUCCGAUAGUGAAUUUAGUACCGCGAGGGAAAACUGAAAAGUAUCCUUAACGGGAGAUGAGAAGAGCCUAAAGCCAAACAGAUAUAGACAGUUGCGGCAUGAAAGUUAAUCAAUGUUGCAACAUCCGUUUUGAAAUUAGAGUAAGGUGAAAAACUUUAUACAAUAUUUUUUGUAUAAUAUUAAUGGUGACAAUGACAGAAAUUACGAAUGAGAUUGCAUAUUUAGUGGGUUUUAUACUAGGAGAUGGUGAUUUUUCUCUUAUAUCAAUCCAUGGAAAAAACCAAUGUAAAAUAUUUUCCGAAAAAGUGGGGUUUAAACACCCAUCUAAAAGUAUAAAGUUGAAAAACCUUCUCUAACAAAAGGAAUGGGUCAGGGAGUUUAUUCCAGUGGUGAGGUGAAAGCCUUAGCGAAAGCGAUAUGAGCGUAGCUUGCGUGGCUCAGGGUAUGAUAAGUGCCUAUAAAUCACUGGGAUAAGACCCGAAGUCUGUUGAUCUAACCCUUGGCAGGUUGAAGUCUGGCGAAAGUUGGAUGGAGGACCGUUACCGGUGAUGAGGACCAAUCUCUCGGGUGACCUGGGGUUAGGGGUGAAAAGCCAAUCGAAACAGACAAUAGCGGGUUCCUUCCGAAAUGCAUCUUAGUGCAGCCUGGCCUGAGGUAGAUAAGAGGGUAGAGCUACCAAUUGGAUUGUCAAGGGUCGAAAGGCUCAGCUUUCCUGUUAAACUCCGAAUCUCUUAUCGCCUUAGAAGGCCAAAAGUGAGGGUUCCCGGGUAAGCCGGGGUCCCGAGACGGAAAAAACCGCGACCAGGGUUAAGGUGUUUAAAUAUCAACUAAACGAUGAAAGAUAUCCAAAACCUCAGACAGUUGGGAGGUAGGCUCAGAAACAGCCAUCCUUUAAAGAGUACGUAACAGUUCACCAACCGAGGUUUUAGGUUCUGAAGAUGGAAGACACUAAGUUGAUUACCGAGACCUUGGACUCUGAAAAGAAUGUGGUAGGAAGGCGUCCUUAAUGGGUAGAAAUAGGGUUGUGAAAUCCUGUGGACCGUUGAGGAAUGAAAAUCCUGAUGCGAGUAGCAGCAUAAGUCGGGUUUGAACCCCGACCGUCUUAAGGGCAAGGGUUUGCCAGCAAUGUUGAUCAUCUGGCAGUAAGUCGAUCCUAACUCAAUUCCUAACCGUUUUUGGGGAAAGGGAAAUCGGUUAAUAUUCCGAUACCAUGAAAAUACGCGUGGCAACACAAGUAAAAAUCAGACACUUUGGGAUAGGCGAACGCGAGUCAGCUGUCGAAAUUUGGGGAGAUUCAUCAAGAAGAGAACCAAAAGCAGACAGAAGAGCUUCUCUUAUGGGAAGUUUUGCUGAUUCCUAGAGUCAAUGAAAAUGGUUUUUAAAGGAUUUUUCGUGAUCGUACUCAGAAUCGACACAGAUGCCCUUCUCUGAGAAGGAGAAGACGUCUAGGUUAACUCGGUUCAAGGAAUUAGGCAACAAUAGCCCUGUAUCUUUGGUAUAAGGGGUGCCUGAGGUCCUUCACGGGAUCCCAGGUCGCAGUAACAAGGAGGAGGCGACUGUUUAACAAAUGGAAAAAAUUGUUUUUUUAUCCAGUUAACAAACAUAGGGGACUGCCAGGGAGAAAUCCUUAGUAUAGUCCCUGAGGCCUGCCCAGUGCCGGUGUGUCAAAGUUGGUUUCAACCAACCUAAGCCCCGGUAAACGGCGGCGGUAACUCUGACCGUCGUAAAGUAGCGUAAUCCCUUGUCGAUUAAAUGUCGACCCGCUUGAAUGGCUUAACGAUCUCCUCGCUGUCUCGAACUGAGGCCUAGUGAGACUGUCUUGUGGUGAAUAUACCACAGACCUUCAAUGGGAAACGAAGACCCCGUAGAGCUUUGCUGUAGUCUGGUGCUGUAUUAUGGUUUUGCAUGCAGAGUGUAGGUAGUAGUUGCUAAUGCUUGUCUCUCGGGGCAAGUGGAGACGACAAUGGAACACUACCCUUGUGAAAGCAUAAUGCUCACCGCGACAGUGGGACAAUGCUAGAUGGACAGCUCGGCUGGGGCGGUACUCCGUUGACAAAUGAUCAACGGAGCCCAAAGGUCAGCUCAUCCCGGACAGAAAUUGAGAUAACUUUAUUACACUCUACUCACUAUAUAUGUAUAUGAAGAAAAUAAUUCAACUAGAAGAAUUUCCAGAUACAAUAUAUUUGAGUUUAAGUGACUCUGACCACAAAAAACUUUGGAAAAAUUUGUUAAAAAAUAUAUCGAUAAAACAAGUGGCGGAAGAAUUUAAAAUUCCAGUGAGAAAUUUGUACAAAUACAAAGAAGGCGAUUCUGGUUAUCCUUUAGCAAUACUAAAGAAACUACUCAAAAAAACAAAAAUAAAAAUAAAUCAAGCUAAUAUUAAAACUCAAAGAAACAGUAAUUCGAUGAAAAUAAAAAUUCCAAUUAGAAUCACAGAAAAAUUUACAGAAUUUUUAGGAUAUUUAUUUGGAGAUGGCGGGAUAGACCAUCAAUUUGGAGUUCACUUUACAACAAAUGAUAAAAAGAGUUUAAAUCAGUUUGACAAUUUAGUAAAAGAAGUCUUUGGUGAUAUAGAAAAACAAGAAUAUGAUUAUGGAACAAGAAUAACAUAUUAUUACCCAAAAAUACUAGGAGUUUUAUUGAGUGAAAUUUUCAAAAUUCCUAAAGGUAACAAA
rnacentral:rRNA from 1 species